GUAAAAGCAAGCUGAGAUGAGGUGAGGGGGUGUUCCAAUGUGAACAGAGACGCAGGGUUCGGGCUGAGGGAGCCUGGGCAGUGGGGAAACCGACGGCGUGAGCAGUGCCGGGACCAGGGGCUAUGACUAAGGUGGGCGCCCCGCGUCCAGGAAGAGGACGCGAGGAAGCUGCACGAGCCUCCGGCGCUUGUCUGAGAUGCAGAAGUGGAUGACCGGGCUCCCGGGCAUAAAAUCAAAGUUCCGUGGAGCUUGGAGCUCUUAGACAGCGACGCUUGUCCGAGCUGAGAGCCCUCCGUGGUUCGAGCUCGCGCGUGGAGCGGCCUCCAGCGCUCGGUCUGCUAGGGUAGAAGCCCAUGAAGGGGGUCCCGCGGCGCUAGCUUUUGUACGGCCCCGCCUUGGCCAGCCGUGAGCUGACGCACCGGCUCCCCUGGGACGCUGGGGGCGUCGCACCGCAGCUGGGUGGGGAGCAAUUUAUUCCUCGCCGUCCCAUCCCAGCCCAUCUUUGGUUACUCCACCCUACCCCUCCCAUCCCUCCUCCUCCUCCUCCUCUUCCUCCUCCUUCUCUAACAACGCCCGCACUACCUUCUGAUUCUCCACCUCCUCUUCAUCCUCCAUCCCCCUUUUACUUCUCUCUCCCCCGUCUCUCCUCCCUCCCGCCUCCUUUCUCCCUCUCCCCCUCCCUCUCUCCUCUGAAUAAGCAAGCUUUUGCCUCUAAAAGUCACAAGUAAUCCUCGUGUGUGACAGAGAGAGAGAGAGAGAGAGAGAGAGAGAGAGAGAGAGAAACGAGCUGGCGGAGAGGAGCAGAAGGCAGGAGGGGAAAUCUGGCACAACGGCUGGGAGAGGAAACUUGAUGCUUCUGGGCCACCAUUUGCCAGGGCCUCGCUCGAGAUGAGACUGCAAAGAAGCAUAAAAUGAAUAGACAAUCCAACCAACCAAAGACCGGGGGCAGCAGCAGGCCAGCAAGACGGCAUCUUCUCCUUCCCAGCCUAGAAGCCCUGUGAAAUCGAGGAUCUUCCCCCUAAAACACAUACACACAAGAUAUGUGCAAUCAAGCUGCCACCGCUUGGUAAAAAGCCAUGGUGCCUAACCAAAAAGGAUCAGGAACAGAUCCUUGAAUCAGCUGUCACUUCUAUAGAAUGGGAUUUUUUUUUCCUUCCUCCUUAACCUGCGCUGGAAAUUGCCGUUGGCUUUAUACAUCUCUAUAGAGAGAGGCUAAAGAGUCUUGCGUGAGAAAGAAGCAAUUUACAAUGCAAAUAGAGGCCUGUGAAGGGACGGAUGCUGCUGCUCACUCGUAACAGCUUGCUGCACCUUAAUAGCUGGUUUUAUUUUCUGAUAUUAAUAGAUGAAUUGUUGGCUAACGCUGCCGGAGAUUACUUGCUGAAAGGAAAAAGAAAAGUUCGGAAUAAACUCUGAAGGCAACAGAUCUCGUUUGGAUGUUUUAGCCGCGCACACACACAAACAGAAACCAGGUCAUAUUUACAUAAAAGGAGGAAUCUUAAGCGCGGCAAGUAUCCUGGACGACCACUCUUCGGUACUGCCAGAAAGGAUCAGGACCUGGAGUCUGGCAAGAGGAAGACAGAGGCCUGUGUGGGAAGCGAGUUGUUAUCUUUGGUUAUCUAGCUGUAUGAGUGUAUUGGUCUUCAUAAAGCUAGAUAACCGAAAGUAAAAACUCCUUCAAGAUCGCCGGGGAGCGUGUGAGAAUGAAAGACUACAGCCGAGAGACAGUAAAAACCAGAAAGGUCAGGAAUACUUAUUGAAUCUAACUUUGUUUUUGUUUUGUUUUUUUCCUUAUGAUUAAAGGUGGGAUGAGAGAAAAUUAAAUGACACACACAUGCUAAAAUAUCAAGGUUCCAGAUAUGUCUUGAGAGGGGUUGUUGCAGCUGCAAAGGAGAAGUGUAUAGUGAUAAUGAGUAAAGAUGCAUGUGCAGUUUGUUCUAUUUUAAGGCAAAAGUUAUAUCAGGGAUUUUUUUCUUAGAAAGGUGUUGCAGAGAUGUCUGGUACCUAGUUUAAAAAUGAUUCCAUAAUAUGUAGACUUGGGCAGUUCCUUUGGGAGGCACCUCCCUCUCAAAAUUUGAAGAUUGUGCUUGGAAAUUACUUUACAUGUAUUUGGGCUGUAUGUCAAUUUGUACGAAAUUAGACUUUCAGAAAAGUUUAUACUGGAAGGUUAAUAAUUUGUAUCUACUGAGGACUUAGAGCUAGCAGGCAAAAUGAAAAAAAAAAAAAAAAAAGCAAGGGCUGAUUUUUAUUCUUCUAUUCAAAAUACAAGGACAGAUGCUUCUCUGUUCCAAGAGGGUUUCCUUGAGGAAGCUACUGAAGCAGAAAGACAUGAUGGAGACGAGAUCGCCUCCCCUCUUGUCAAAGUGUUAAAAAAAUGUUCUGUCUUACUCUGCGCCUAGCAUUGGAAAUGAAAGUGACAUUUACGCCACAACCCACGUGUGCGCCUCCUCUCUUUUUGUUUAAGGAUGAUCAGGUCUAUCCAGGAAACAGCUCUGGCAUCCCAAACUGAAAUAAUUAGGACGUAUAUAGACCUGACAAAAAUGGAAAGGGGGUGGGGAAUCUGAGGGUCUGUCUUGCCUAAUUGAUUCCGCUAAACGGAAUGCAGGAGAUGUGAACGGCAGGACGCUCCGAUUCCCACGCUCGGGGGCAAGUGAUAAAGCGGGGCCGGGCAGCCUAUGACAGACAGCCCUGUUGGGGGGUGGGGGUAUGAAAAAAACAUCAAGUGCACACACCAUACUCAUCUCCAUCGCUUAAGAAAGUAAAGGCAUUUCCCACCCACAGCCAUCUGCAGCUUCCCAAAUGGCAGCACCAACUGGUCUGUAGCUGCUACAUAGUCUGCUUCUGUUAAUUUUUUAACCACUGUUUAAUCUGGCCAUAAUUAAGUUUGGCUUUCUUCGUUGUUUGAGAUUUUCAGAAUUCAAGGCAAGCUAGUAGAAAGCAAUUCCAAGAAAGUCCCAUGACUGCCUGCCCCUAAUGUCAAAAUCUCAGUCCAUGAGAUUAUGGCCUUGUGACCACAUUUUUGCUUUUGUUUUGGGUGGGCAAAUGUGUAUAGAGAUAAAAUACAUAUCUCUAUAUAACAGUCGUUAUUAUAAUUUCAUGAGGCUUUUUACCUCUUAACAUGAUACAUCUAGGAACUUGGUCUAAUUGUGCUAGUAGAUAUACACUAGAAGUAAAACUAUAAAGUCAUUAGCCUGUAGAAAGUUGAUUAUGAUAACAAUAUGAUAAAAAGUUUGUUUUGGAAUAGUCUCAGCUAGAUGGGUCUAAAUAGCCAUUUUAAUGUAAUCUAAAAAUAACACUAUGCCUAGCAGAAACUUUGGCGCUUUGGAGGUCCCCAUUGUCGCCUUUUCAUAAAAGUCCUUAAGUUUUCCAUAUGUCACCAAGCAAACAUUUGUAUAGGCAUUUACACAGAAAUAUAACCAUUGCAAUUAGAAAAUAUCCAAAAUAGCCUGUUAUCUUCCACGUGGCCUAGAUUAUUGACAAUCCCAAAUAUACAAUUUUUCUUUAAAAGUAGUACAAUUUCCUUUGUAGCUUCAAUUCCUUAUAUGACUUCAGACUGGAGAAGCCUGUUAAACCACUGUUAGUUUCAGUUAGAAAGUCUGAGAGACUUUAUACAUAAAUUCUCAAUUUGGCUGCUGUACACGUGCCAGAGUUUUACUACUGUAGUGACCGUUGAGAAGACCCUUGUUUAUUUACAUUUGAAGCACUGUUUGUGCAAACAACCUUUCAUUGUUAAGUGCCUGUAUUCCUUUCAUUUACUUCAUGUCCAGGGGUGCUAUUUACCUAGAACCAUUGUCUACUACAAUUAACAUUUACAUUACAAAGUGUGUGGUUUUCUUUUUCAAGGAGGUUCAAUUAAGGCAAUAAGAUGUUUGCUGGAGAAACCUAUUGUUUACUGAAAGCACUCAAUGAAGUCAAAUUACUGAAGCUUUUGCCUACAUCUUGGUCUUUUAUGUAAAUAUGUUAAAUAUAACAUCUAAGGAAAAUAAACAAUAUUAUAAUUAUGUGUUUGCCAUUGUCAUAUCAAACUUGCUUUGUAUCAUACUAAUGUUACAUAACUUAUCGAUCAAUAAAAAUACAUUUCAAUGUUAUUAUUUUCAUUUUAUUUUUUGCUGUUCCACUGCCCUUGGUGCAACAUGUCCCAAUUUUUCUUUUUUCUAUUACACAUCAAACUUCUGAC
rnacentral:lncRNA from 10 species